CGAGAUGACACCUCCAGAGAGUGGAGGUGUGUAGGGUAGUGGACAAAAGGGAUAACCUCAGCAGAAUUUGUCUCAUUUGGUUAAAGAGAGAGUAGUAAUUCUUGAUGUGGAUACCACUCACCCUUUCGUAUUAACUUUCACGUGUUUAUCAUCUUGACUGUUUUAUAAGUAUCAACUUUAAAAACUAUACAACAUUUUUGUUACGAAUUUUAUUGU